rnacentral:lncRNA from 1 species
AGGUUUAUUGCCUGGCUAUAGACAGCCCGAGAAAGAAAGUUAGCUUCCCACCCCCGGCAGCUGCAGUGAUUGGAAAACGAGCCUGAGCCUUUUCACCGAAAAGAAUAUAUCAUUAUCCGUUGGGUUCGCCCUACUUCCCUGUUAAGAAUCACCUGAAGUGCCUAAAAAUCCGCGAGUUUCAGGGCUUUUCCCUGGAAAUAAUGAUUUAGAACGUCCUGGGGGAGGGCCUAGGAGUCUGUGGGUUUAAUAAGCACCUCCAGGAUUUGUGUCUUCGGGUAAGGUGGCGUAAUACUAAAGAGCUGGUAUUCAAAAGUUUCUUUCCAAGAAAUUGCUUCUGUUACCCUGUUACGUUUAUCCAAAUAUUCUCUGUUAGUUGCUCUUUUAGAGUUGAAUUUCUCCAGCAGCUCCCACAAAUAAGCAGUUUUUCCUGGAAGGGGAAAUGUAACAGUUUAAGAGGGGGCUGGCUAGUCUUGAUUUUCGCAGUACACCGUCACCCCACCACCUCCUCAGCCAGUGAGCCACAGAUGUGUGUGGGGUGUCCAUUAUCAGCCUGUUCAGCUGGAUCGGUUUGUGACCCUAAAGUGAAUCUCCAGACUGAGUAGGAUGAUAGUGUAGGCAGAAGCCUUUUAAAGGAGGGAACUGGGGUGUGGAACGAGCAAGUUUCAGAGCCUCACUGGGCAGGCCUGGGCAGCCAGAAGACUGUGGGAAUACACAGAAGGUGGCUUUUUGUGCACCAUGGGCUGUGGCAGGAGAACUUGUUAUUCCCACCCUAGUAUCAGAAAUGCUCCAAGAGAGAGCAAAGGUUAAAUACCGUGGUGUGUUCCUCCAGGUUCACCGUGGGAAAAACCCUUUGCUCAGGGGCUGUCUGGCAGAAGGUGCUGGCAUCCACACCCUUGUCAGAACCCUCCAUAGACUGAGCAGCUAGAUCACCUAAGCUGAUGGAGCUUUCCUGCAAUACCAGACACUGGCAUCCAUGAAGCGAAGUCUUAGGGUGGGCAUUUUGUGGAAAAGAGAGAGGAAAGAAGGAUUUCUUGGGGUUAACAGAAAGUGGAUGUAGAUAAAGGGAAUUCUCCAGUCUUGCACCGCUAACAUGGUGCAAUAUUCACAAACAGACAUGAUUCGUGCUUGUGGACAAAACUGACCUCGGAGCUGAGGUGAGUGACAAACCAAAGUUGCCAGGCCUGAGUAGGGUCCUCGUGCCCAGAGGAGAAAGAGAAAAAACAAAGGAACUCUUUUCACUAAAUUCACCAGCUAUCUUCUGAUCCAGUUAAUUAACUGGGAAAACUAAAUUAAACCCUAACGCCUUAUUCAUCUUUGAGGGGACCUGUGAUGUCUCUGAGCACUAAUGGCAGGGAGGUGGGCAGUGCUGGGCUGGAACAUCUCCCAUGGACAGCCAAGCAGCAUUCUGUUAAUCGUGGCUAUUAAACUGCUUUCUUGGGAGUUGUUUUUGAUCCAUGUGGAAUAGAUUAAGAGUCUGUUUUGAAUCCCCUAGAGUUUCCUGUGGAGCAUAAUUAGAGAUGCAUUGGAAUAGGAAUUCAGGUCAACACUUUAAUGAGAUGUCUGAAGAGUAUGGCCCAGCAAGGGGGAGGGUAGAGGGAGUGGAGUGGUGGAGAUGAGGAAGGGACAUUGUCAGGAUGAGGGGGCAAAAGAAUGAAGAUUUUUGUGAGGAGGUGAAUGAAAGACAAGGAACCACAGAGGAGAGAGAAAUGGAGAGUGAGAGAAGCAAGGAAAUGAGAAGUGAGUAGCAUUCACUGUGUCCUACCACAUGCCAGGCACGUUUUCAAAGAUGAUGAGAAAAACAGUUGAGAAAAUGAUACUGGAAGCCCAUGGAGAGGUUCACAGCCUUGGAUUCUGAUGCUUGUCUUGAAUCUAUCUGGAGACAGUAGAGAGAUAGGGAGAAUGGGCUUUGUCAUCAAACAGACCUUGGUUUGAUUCUUAAUCCCGUCCUUUUUGAGCUCUGUGACUGUUGGCAAGUCACUGACCCUCUCUGAAACUGUUUCCUCACCUGUCAAACGAAGGUUAACUAUAUAAUGUUUAUAACACUCCCAGAAUGGACUAUUGUCUAGCAUAUAUUAGAUGUUCAAUAAAUUAUUGUUACAAUGAGGAAUCUGAGGAUGAGAGAGGUCAGCUUGGCCUAGGAGCUCAUAACUAGUCAGUAACAGAAUUGAAAGGUAAGCCCAGGUUUGUCUGAUCUCCACUGCCACCAAGCAAAAUGUACAUACAUGACUGACCUUCUGUGGGGGAAAACAAGGUCUGUUCUCCACAGGGUGACCCUUAGCCCAUGAUGACAGUCCUUAUAAGUGGUACUGGCACUGAAUGGAGAGCUAAACCAGCUUCAACCAAUUUCAAUCAGCUAUGGCAGGAUUUUAAAAUUUAGAUUUGGUGACAUUACUUCCACAGACUGGUUUUCACAGGGCAUGCCCUUGCUUGUAUCUCCCCAUAGGUAUGUAAAGUUGCAUCCCUUGCUGAGUUCAUUCCAGGGCUGAGUUCCCAUGAUAUACCUUGCACUAUUUCAGUGCCCUAAGGAUGAUAUAGUCCCAUUGGAGAACUGUGGCAGUCUCUAAUGGUGGUAUGCUGCUCUUCAAGUUCUAGAACCUGCUGCAAGAGUCUGCCUUUGGGAUCCAUGGGAGGGCUCACACCAAGGUCACAGUCUUCCCCAGGCUGCUCCCAGUCCACAGCACAUGGCAGGAGUACUGGAGCUGGGCCACUUCUGCUCAAGUCAAGCAUUGAAAAAUCCUGGAACUUUCAAUAUUUAUGUAGCCAAAGUGUCUCUCUUGCUCACUCACUUGCUUGCUUGUGUACCACUAAUUGAGCAACUACUAUGGGCCAGAUGCUCUGGAAAAUGUUGUUCUGAAGAGGAGUACUAAUCUUCACCAGUGGUGCACCUAGCUGUAUUUUGCACAUUAGGAAACAGACCCAGAGGCACACCUCCCAGAUGCAUCUUCCUCAUGGGGUUGUCGCAGGGUUUAAGAAAAUGAACUCAUAUAAAGGGCUCAGAAUAGUGUCUGGAUCACAGAACUCUGAAGAAUUUAUGUCAGUGAUUCUGAAGUGAGAAUGGAACAUGGAUCCAACCCCUCUAAGGCAGAAGAGAUGUGAGCAGAUUACCUUCUCUGUCCUUAAAAGGAGUGGCCCUGCAUUCCCUGAGAGGGCAUAGCUGGGGCAGUCAUCUGGACCCACCAGACAGGAGCUGAAGCUUGAUAAAAGGUGCCUGGUUCCAGUGACUAUGGAGCAGCCUGCCAGCACUAGAGGAGUCACAGAGAUGUCUAGAUGAGUCACAGAGACAUUUACAUGACAGAAAAAUAAACAACUAUGUUGUUUAAGCCAUUAUUAGUCAGUCUUUCAGUUCAAGCAGCUACACGUGUAUUUUAAUUAAUACCAAGACAGCUCUGUAAGUUUGAUCCAU